AAAAAUAUUCAGAAGAUUACGAAGGCUAUGAAGAUGGUUGCUGCUUCAAAGCUCAGAGCUAUUCAAACUAGAGCUGAAAAUUCACGCGGCCUAUGGCAGCCAUUUACUGCCCUUCUUGGUGACACUCCUAGUAUUGAUGUCAAGAAGAAUGUUAUUGUUACCAUUUCCGCAGACAAAGGUCUUUGUGGUGGAAUCAAUUCUACAUCUGUCAAGAUAAGCAGGGCUAUGCAUAAGUUGAAUUCUGGUCCUGAUAAGGAAAAUAAGUAUGUUGUCUUGGGGGAAAAGGCAAAGGCUCAGCUGGUGCGAGAUUCGAAAAAGGACAUUGAGCUGGUCAUGACUGAGUUGCAGAAAAAUCCUCUUAACUACACACAGGUUUCUGUGAUGGCAGAUGACAUCUUGAAGAAUGUUGAAUUUGAUGCACUGAGGAUUGUGUAUAAUAAAUUCCAGUCAGUUGUCUCAUUUUUGCCAACAGUGUCCACUGUACUAUCUCCUGAGGUUGUGGAGAGGGAAGCUGAAUCUGGUGGAAAGCUUGGAGAUUUGGAUUUAUAUGAAAUUGAAGGUGCUGAGACAAAGGGUGAAGUUCUUCAGAACCUAACUGAAUUUCAAUUCUCAUGCAUGAUGUACAAUGCAGUUCUAGAGAACGCUACUAGUGAGCAAGGAGCAAGAAUGUCUGCCAUGGAUAGUUCCAGCAGAAAUGCUGGUGACAUGCUUGAUCGUCUCACUCUUACUUACAACAGAACCCGUCAAGCAUCUAUCACCACAGAGUUGAUUGAGAUCAUAUCAGGAGCAUCAGCACUGGAGGGUUAAUUGGACAUGCUACUCUGCUUUUAUUUGACGGAGACAAUAAAUGAUGUGUAGGUUUUCUUAGCACCUUGUGGUGACCAAUUAUCAGUUUUGAUUAUGAAUAAUUACCAGGUUAACUUUAUUUCUGGGAAAAAAAUUUGUUUCUCUGUUGCAAAAUCGUCAGAAAUGCCAUUUGAGCUGUUCUCUUUCGUUCUUUGUUGUACCGGGCUUGAAUGGCCGUAACUUGUUCAAGAAUAUUUUCUUGAAAAGCUCUUUGCCUUUAUAUUCAUGUUUUUUGGCUUGUAAGUUGAAAUGUAGGCCCUUCCGUCA
rnacentral:misc_RNA from 1 species